AUGGGCACCAAACAGCAUCUCCCCAUGCACAGGAAGAAACGCCUCCUUCUAAACAGUGGAGAGCAGUGCAGAAGGCCCAUCAGCUGUGCCUUUCCUAGAAGUAGCAGGAUCUGAGCAAGUGUCUGUUGGUUGAAGAGGCACACAUGUCAGGUAACCAGCAGCAUCAGGAAAUAACCUAAAACGUGGUGUGUUUAUCAUUCCCCUGCUGGGAGCCUUUGGCUUGGUCCGUCCACAUAACACGGGGUUCUUUGGGUAGGCGGCUAGAAGCCGAGUGGCUGGGUCGCAGCAUCGUCUCCUUUACUGCAUUGUACUCCACAGUGGUAAUGGGAGGUUCCCGCUUCCCACAUCCUUUCCCUCAGCCAUUACAUCUUGGAGCCUGGAUGCAUUAUGAAGAUCCUCUGCAUCUCAUGACGGGCUUCCUGGCUUCCCCGGUUCCCCAGCAGAGGGAUUCUUCUCAGCCCGAGCCAUCACCGAACCCGGUUCCCAGCACUCCUGUCUCUGUUGGAAGUGGCUUUGCAGGGUUGCUGUGGAAGACCAUCUCUUCUCCUGGGCUGUGGGCUCCUAAGAGCAAUAAGACCACUUCUUUUUCCUUGAUGACCUAGCAUGAGGCCUGUCUUGAAGAAUAAAAGUUGUUUUCUCACUUG
rnacentral:sRNA from 1 species